UGGCUCCAGCCAGUCUGGAGUUGCCUGUCUUCUUGUUUUUUAGAUGAGAGGGAAGCAGAGCAUAAUGAACUGAUGCAAUAGGCAAGAUCCCUGGACUUAAGAAGGAAAUAGUCUCCUCUCCUGCUGACUUUGUGAGGCAAAGCAGAUCAGAAAGGGUGAAAAUUCUUUCACCAGAGAUGGGCAAACUGAGACCGCAAGCCCUGGCGAUGUGCUCAGACAGAUGCGCAUGUCCCCCGCUCCAGCUUCCAGGCUCCCAGGCUUCAGUCUUUAGUCGGCCUUUGUUCUGCCACUUUCUCCUGGAAGUCACACCUCCCUCUCUUCCUGCCUGCCACAUCACAGGAGUCUGCACGCACCCAACCGGCUCAAGAGGCUCUGACAGGGAGGAAGCACACAUCCUCUUCACUGCGGAUUCUUUCUUCUUCUUCACGCGGU
rnacentral:lncRNA from 10 species